rnacentral:rRNA from 1 species
AUGGCCAAACAAGUGUACGAGUGCAACUGGGUUCCCUCCCGUGUCACAGAAUCACAGCUGAAUGAUCUAGUCCUGAUCGGUGCUUUGGAUAACAAAGAUACGAUUCACUGGAGGGUUCCUGGAGAUGAAUGUCCUCCUACACCCCAGGAAGGAGAGGUCGUCGUCUUCGCAGAUCACAUGGCCCGGGGCUUCAAACCGCCCAGCUCCAAAUUUUAUCGGGAUGUGUUAGCCAACUUUCAACUCCGUCCACAGGAUAUUGGCCCCAACUCCGUCACCAAUCUAUGUCACUUUCAAGUACUUUCUGAGGCAUACCUUCAAGAGGAGCCUUCAGUCGAAUUAUUUAGAGAUCUCUUUCAUCUGAACCGCCGUACUGAAUUCACUGACGGCCCUAAUACCGAACUUGGCGGUAUGGCCAUUCAGAAAAGGAAAAAAUCACCUAUCCCCACGUCAAACUCCAUACUCACCCCAAGGAAUGGAACGCAACUUGGUUUUAUUGCAAGGAUACCUCUCCUGACAAUGAAAAUACCUUGCCUGGCUUCCGUCCGGAAUGGCUCAGCAACACUCACCCUUUUCCACAAAGGCUAA